UGCGUAGGCGGGCUAAUAAGUCAGUGGUGAAAUCUCUCGGCUCAACCGGGAAACUGCCAUUGAUACUGUUAGUCUUGAGUUCGGUUGAGGUAGGCGGAAUGUGUAAUGUAGCGGUGAAAUGCUUAGAUAUUACACAGAACACCAAUUGCGUAGGCAGCUUACUAGACCGACACUGACGCUGAGGAACGAAAGCGUGGGGAGCGAACCGGAUUAGAUACCCGAGUAGUCC
rnacentral:rRNA from 1 species